ensembl:lncRNA
AUGGCAACAGGAGGAUGGGGGAGGGGCUGCUGCACAGACCUUCUGGUAAGUGGGGAAGUCGUCCUUUGCUGGAGCCAAAUUCCUCAUGCUCAGCCUCUCCCAGGAAGCCCAUGUGACCACCCAGCCUGGGGAUCGGGGAUGGGGAAGGGGUAUGGGGAGGAGCCUGGCUCUGCUUGGGAUGUGGUAGGUGGGACUAUUCCUUCCUCCUCACUGGCCAGUGCCCUGAAGGCUCUGCAGAGACACGCCCCUCCUGAUGGACCUGGAGGGCGCCUGAGGGUGGUCACCUGGAUCCCCCUUGCUGUGCUGGGGGGCUCAGCCAAAAGCAGAAGCCAGAGAAGCCUGACAUGGAGCGGGGACCCCCAGCUCUACCACGGCCUCUGUGCACAAGCCCACCCCUCAGGGAGGGUGAAAGCUGCUGUGGCUUAGAUGGGGGUAAAUGGCAGGGCUGUUUGAAGUCGAGACCUCAGGCCCACAGCCAGCAGCCCCAUUAGCAUGCAGCUCACAGCCCUGGGGAGGGACCCCCUCCAGAAUGCCCUGGGCCAGAUUGCAGCCUUGGGGCAACCCCAACCAUCCUACACUCCUCACCUAGCAAGGGGUGAGCAGCUGUGCUCAGAGGGUGGGGGACACCAAGGGAGCCCUCACUGGGGACACUACCCAAGAGGAAGCUCAGGAACUAUCCCCAGAUGUUUCUUCAACAUGAGAUUUCUCCUGGUUCUACAGUUGUUGCUUCAUGUAAACAAAUAGGAGUCACUGGUUCUAAAUAAAGUUGUCUGUCUGUGUGAAUUAAUGCAUCAUAUUCUCUCCUGAAAUAGAAUUAUUCGUCUCUGGAGGAAUCAUGUUAAAGACUGACACUGGUAUAACUGCUCAUUUGCAUAUGCAAAUAUGUCUAAUUAUUCAACUCACAAUUAAAGGCUGUGUCAGCAAAUGAGACUAAUUAGAUACAUUUAUCUAUGAUAAUCAGCUUUUUACAAACAAAGUAGAUCCCCCUUGUUUCACUGGGAAGGGUCUCAGGAGCCCGCCUGGAGCCUGGUUUUGGGCUGCAGAGCACAGACAGCCUGCCGAGAGCAGGCGGACGGGCUGGUGGGGGCCGCUUAGCGCACAGUGCACCCCCUCAGGGAACCCCUGGCCCCCACUUCUGUCUUCCUGCCUGAGAGCCAGGCUUGUCUGUGGCCGCUGAGGCUGUACGGGCAGUAACGAACACGGCAGGGUGCCAGACAGGAGACGGGCCCUUGGGCCCGCAUCCAGCACGACCAGCACAGCCAUGUCCAGACACAGGGAACAUGGGCGGGUGGACAACAGGCAGACGGGCCCUGGAGGUCAGAGGGCACUUGAGCCUCUCCCAGGAUGGCUGCAGCAGGUCCCCUCCCCCCUUGCUGGAGCUGGUGGGAAUCUAAUUAGACGACCAGUCUGGCACCAAAUGUCCUAAUAUUCCCAGCGCUCGGGGGACAUGAGUGUCUCUUCACAGCUUUGGCUCCCAGCCCACCUGGCCUUCGCAUCAUCCAUAACCGUGUAAGGGGACCCCCACAGGAAACCCUGGCUGUUUUCAGAACCUCUAAUUAAUUAGGCCCAGUCUUAAGCAUCACCGACGUGUUAAAAGGCAGCACGUGACAGCAGAAUCAGAGCCUCCCCGGCAGGCACCCCUGGAUUCCAUGGGGGGGCGUCAGUGCCACCCCUCAAAAGAGACUCCCCUGAGGCUUCUGGCCCCUCACAUCUCAGGGUCCAGGGCACAAGGAGAGUCUGUGCAGAUGGACGCACUGUCCCAAUGAGCCGGGAUAGGGGCCACAGCAGCACCCAGGAGGUCGGGGGCCUGGGGGGUCAGUCCCAGGGUCUGUGCAGAUGGACACACUGUCCUGAUGAGCCUGGGUGGGGCCACAGCAGCACCCAGGAGCUCAGGGGCCUGGGGGGUCAGUCCCAGGGUCUGUGCAGAUGGACACACUGUCCU